CUCGAUCUAGCUCGGAUCGAUAAGAAACAAAUCAGAGAAAAUAACAGAGUGAAGCGCAAUCAUGCUGUUGCAAAAAAGCAUCGCGGAAAUUUCAUAUAAUAAUCUCUGGCACGAGACCAGCUCUAUCUAUGACGGCCCAGUUUUUUUCCACGAAUCCGAGAUAGCCUCAUCGAAACGUGAAACUGCAAAGGGAAGAAGAAAGGAAAAAAGGAGCGACGGAUCUGACAUUGUAACGAUAGAAAAAUGGGAUCGACCGUACAGUGAAUUAAUUUAAACAUUUUUACAGUUGGUAGUUGAUAGAUUACUGCUGCGUUUUUUUUCUGGCAAAAAGUUAAUUACCCAUUCUCGUUUAGCAGUCUCACAGAAAAUGUAUAAUGCCAUGUAAAUAUAUAGAAAAACGUAAUACACCAUUUAUCCUAUUA